UCUAGUAUUCUCUCUGAAUGAUAGAAUUAUCACUCAUCAUAUGAUGAUUCUGUUGAACUAUAUGAUGAAUGAUUGGGUUGAUCGAGCCAUCCUCGAGCCUGAUCAUUCUUUAGCUAGAAUCACUGAGUAGGUUCAUAUUAAUGGUUGGACCUAACCGAAACUUUCAGUGGAGGCCCAUCACCUACUGAAAUGAAAUCUGGGAUGAAAUUAAAUACUAAAAGUUGUUUGGAGAAACAACUGGUUGAGAAAUUAUCCAUGGGUGCAUAUGGGUUGACUGAGCCAUUCUCGGGCUUAUAUGCAGUCUAUGUGGAUUCUAGUACCCGCUAAGAAAUUAAUGUAAUUUCUCGAAUUGGAGGUAGAAGCUAUCAAUUCGUAUAAAAUAGUAGAUAAAUUUUUAGACUAAAAUCCAAGUCUUUAGGCUUAAAAUAGUUCAUAUACUAAUAGGUCAAUUAUUUUUUUUCAAAAAUGGUUAGAAAAUUAUCGCUCUCUUCACUGUUAGACAGUGAAAAUGUUAUCAGACCUAACUUCAAUAGCUAGUAUCAGAAGUUGAGUAUAGUUUUAGAGCUAAUUGAUUAAGAAGUCUCAGGCUAAUCCAAACAGACUUAGAAGAGAAAUCAGUAAAUGGUUGCUGGUCAAGAUAGUUAUAUGAUAACUCCUUGAAGUUUCUCUGUUGGUAAUACUACUAUCUGGGUAUAGGAUACCGACAAUAUAAGUCAUGUUUGUAAAUAGUUGCAAAAGACUUCAGGAUAGUAGAAGAUUUGAAAACGACAAGAGACUCUUAAAUGUAAGAGAUGGAAGUCUGUUCCAAUCUUAACACUAAGAAUCAUCGACCUUGUUUUCAACCCGAAAGAUGUCAUUUUAAGUGAUUGUCACUAUUAUCCAAUUUUAUUGAUGGUGUCAAUAAGUAUGAUUGUUAUAAUAUCAUUGUGAAUGAUACUACAAUAAUGAGUGGAUAAUUAAAAAUGACAUAAACUCAGUAUCAUAGUCUGUUAGUAUAAAGUACACUUCUAACUAGCAUCC
rnacentral:lncRNA from 1 species